CACGUAGGCACCAAGCGUUGUCCGGAUUUAUUGGGCGUAAAGAGCUCGUAGGCGGUUCAGUAAGUCAGGUGUGAAAUCUUUGGGCUUAACCCAAAGCGUGCACUUGAUACUGCUGUGACUUGAGUUCGGUAGGGGAGUGGGGAAUUCCUAGUGUAGCGGUGAAAUGCGCAGAUAUUGGGAGGAACACCAACGGCGAAGGCAGCACUCUGGGCUGGAACUGACGCUGAGGAGCGAAAGCGUGGGUAGCAAACAGG
rnacentral:rRNA from 1 species